GACGAACGCUGGCGGCGUGCCUAAUACAUGCAAGUAGAACGCUGAAGCGAGGAGCUUGCUCUUCUUGGAUGAGUUGCGAACGGGUGAGUAACGCGUAGGUAACCUGCCUUGUAGCGGGGGAUAACUAUGGAAACGAUAGCUAAUACCGCAUAACAAUGGAUGACCCAUGUCAUUUAUUUGAAAGGGGCAAUUGCUCCACUACAAGAUGGACCUGCGUUGUAUUAGCUAGUAGGUGAGGUAACGGCUCACCUAGGCGACGAUACAUAGCCGACCUGAGAGGGUGAUCGGCCACACUGGGACUGAGACACGGCCCAGACUCCUACGGGAGGCAGCAGUAGGGAAUCUUCGGCAAUGGGGGCAACCCUGACCGAGCAACGCCGCGUGAGUGAAGAAGGUUUUCGGAUCGUAAAGCUCUGUUGUAAGUCAAGAACGAGUGUGAGAGUGGAAAGUUCACACUGUGACGGGAGCUUACCAGAAAGGGACGGCGAACUACGG
rnacentral:rRNA from 1 species